rnacentral:lncRNA from 1 species
GUUUAAAUUGAUCCAGUAUCUUGAUCUUGGGAUGCCAUCGGGCGGACUCUGGUCAAAGGAUGUUUGUAUGUUAAUUAGUUUUCUUAUCUUAAUCAAGCAUCAAACAAAAAUUUUAUCACAAUCAACUUUCUUUACAGCUACACGCUAAACAUUAAAUUCUUUCAAAUGGAAAUUACUAAACAGUACAGUUCACCAAACAAGUCAUAUAUGAGAUAUCCAACCAUAAAUGUACAAUGAUAAGACCAUUCAAUAUACUCAGCAAAAGAAUUUAACAAUUUAUUAGUAACAAUGUAGAUAAAUACCCAUCAUGUAUCUUAUUUCUCUACGAGGCAACCUGCCCGAGUGAUCUUUGUCCUAAAUAGAACAUUUCAGAACAAUUGGUGCGCAAAAAUUGGUGGAGACUCCCAAAAUCGGACCUUAUGAUUCAAACAAAAAUCUCUGAAAUAAAAACAGCACAUCAAAAGCAAAAGUAUCAUUGCGAAUACCUGGGAAACGAAAUAUCAUGAGCAUUGAAAAUUUCCAGUUAGGAUCUGAAUGAUAUUCUCCUAUAGCAAAAAUUCUACAGGAGAUUGUUUUUGAGGACAGUCUAUCCGUGGAUAUGGAAAUAACUUAAGCACCAUUCACAAAAGAAGUCUUCGAAUAUCGCUGAAGUUUGAACUUAAUGAUGCAAAGAAGUUGCCUGCAAAACAGAGUUGUUCCAACAUUGGGUAUCACAUAGAGAUUAACGGGUGUAACCUCAAUGAAAUGGUCAACUACCAAACCCAAGAAAAUGUAAAGUAAUGAUAACAAUAUCAUGUGCACCACAUUGCUUUUCAUGAGAAUAAUUUAGAAAAGAAAAAUAAUUAACAAAUUUUUUCCGUGGUAACCCAUCUGAAUAGAAAAUUGAGCCUCUGAUUGGAAAUU